rnacentral:rRNA from 1 species
AUGCAGGCUGAUCGAAGCAACUCCAGCAGACAGCAAGGGCCUGUUAGGAAUCAGAGUAAAAACCCUCAACGCAAGAAACAGGAUCAGGUACAUAAAGCUAUUUCAGCCUCCUCUACUGGUCUGAUGUCGUAUGCUCAGGUGAUAUGCUACAAUUGUGGGGAUCCAUGCCACCACAAGGAUAAGUGUGAAAAGCCAAAGAGCUGCAUCAUAUGCAAGAUGGUUACUCAUGUGGUUGAUGAUUGCCCAGUCUGGAAGCAAGCCCACACAUCUGCUAGAUAUGUGGGGAGUGCUGCCCAAGGACUUGGCUUUUACCACCUUGAUGUACCUGAUGUUAAUGCACAACACCAUGGAGCUCUGAAGAAUGUAGGCAUUGUGCUUAUAGAAUCUGGAGAGGUGACUAAGCAAGAAUUAGCAGAGGAAUUUGCUGAUAUUUACAAGACUAAUUGGCCAUGGCCCAUCAAUGCACUGGAUGAUUGGACCUUCUUAGUGAAAUUCCCUCCAGAGAUUGAUGUUGCUCAUGUUGCAGGUUAA